CCCUUUCAGCAGCAGGAUUUUCUUUUUCCUGGCAUCAGCAAUUCCAGAAAUUCCACUUUCAUCUUCUAAUACUUCAGUUCCUGAUGCAGAAGCUAAAGUUACAGCUUUAUCAGAAAGAUNNNUCGCUUAGGAACCAAAAUGUACGUUGAUUUUUCUUUUCCACUUGUGCUUUUCGCAGAGUCCCUCAACACAUACAUUGUGGUUGAAAGCCUCUUCUUGUCAGAACUUCGUUUGGA
rnacentral:misc_RNA from 1 species